GGCAGCAUGACUCAGAAGAGAAAAUACAACGGGUGGGUACAAUCAGACCUGGGUUCAAAUCCCAGUGCUACCA
rfam:Macaca mulatta chromosome 16, whole genome shotgun sequence.